rnacentral:rRNA from 1 species
GACGAACGCUGGCGGCGUGCUUAACACAUGCAAGUCGGACGGUGAACCGGGCUUCGGUCCGGGGAUCAGUGGCGAACGUGUGCGUAACACGUGUGCAACCUGCCCCAGACACUGGGAUAACCCCGGGAAACCGGGGCUAAUACCGGUUACUCCGCCCGGACCGCAUGGUCUGAUCGGGAAAGCCCCGACGGCCUGGGAUUGGCUCGGGUACCAUUAGCGUGUUGGCAGGGUAAUGGCCUACCAAGGCAACGAUGGUUAGCUGGUCUGAGAGGAUGGCCAGCCACACUGGAACUGAGACACGGUCCAGACUCCUACGGGAGGCAGCAGUGGGGAAUCUUGCGCAAUGGGGGAAACCCUGACGCAGCAACGCCGCGUGGGUGAUGAAGGCCUUCGGGUCGUAAAGCCCUGUCAGGUGGAAAGAACAGUGGCGACGUAAAUAACUUCGCCAUUUGACGGUACCACCAGAGGAAGCACCGGCUAACUCCGUGCCAGCAGCCGCGGUAAGAC